rnacentral:lncRNA from 1 species
CCCAGAGCGAGAGGAAGAUGAAGGUGGCUGUGCUCAGCGUGGCCCUGCUCUUCUCCAUCCUGCUGUGCCCCCCGGCACAGGCCAAGGCACUCCUGGAAGGAACCCAAGAUGAUCUCCGGGAGCCCUUUCGGGAUGAAGAGCUGCGGGCUCUUCUGCGGUAUAAACGCCUGGCUGCCUCUCUGGAUGCCUAGGUGAGCUGUGACUGCAGGGACAGGGGUCGAGACAAAGCCCCUCCGUGGCCCAGUGAGCUCCAGAGGUCAUGUUCUGGGGUUUUUCAUUUAGGAUUGGAAGCUGUGGGGACAUGGUGUCCCGAUCCCCUCUGGCGGUGUGAGGAGAUGAUCAUCCCUGGAGGAACCCUCUGAUCCCUGUGAGCCCUGGGCUAUUCCCCCUCAAUAAUCAAUAAACCCUUUCAGCAAAGUUACA